AUACGGAGGAUCCGAGCGUUAUCCGGAUUUAUUGGGUUUAAAGGGUGCGCAGGCGGGAGAUUAAGUCGGCGGUGAAAAUUUGCAGCUCAACUGUAAAAGUGCCUUCGAAACUGGUUUCCUUGAGUGUAGAUGAAGUAGGCGGAAUUUGUAGUGUAGCGGUGAAAUGCAUAGAUAUCACGAGGAACUCCGAUUGCGCAGGCAGCUUACUAAACUACUACUGACGCUCAGGCACGAAGGCGUGGGGAUCAAACAGGAUUAGAUACCCUGGUAGUCCACGCAGUAAACGAUGAUUACUAGCUGUUUGCGAUACAAUGUAAGCGGCUGAGCGAAAGCGUUAAGUAAUCCACCUGGGGAGUACGUUCGCAAGAAUGAAACUCAAAUGAAUUGACGGGG
rnacentral:rRNA from 1 species